AUUGAACGCUGGCGGCAUGCUUUACACAUGCAAGUCGAGCGGCAGCGCGGGGGCAACCCUGGCGGCGAGCGGCGAACGGGUGAGUAAUGCAUCGGAACGUAUCCUCGAGUGGGGGAUAACCCAGCGAAAGUUGGGCUAAUACCGCAUGAGCUCUGAGGAGGAAAGCGGGGGACCUGCGAGGGCCUCGCGCUGGAGGAGCGGCCGAUGUCCGAUUAGCUAGUUGGUGGGGUAAAAGCUUACCAAGGCGACGAUCGGUAGCUGGUCUGAGAGGAUGAUCAGCCACACUGGGACUGAGACACGGCCCAGACUCCUACGGGAGGCAGCAGUGGGGAAUUUUGGACAAUGGGGGCAACCCUGAUCCAGCCAUGCCGCGUGAGUGAAGAAGGCCUUCGGGUUGUAAAGCUCUUUCGGACGGAACGAAAUGGGCGGGACUAAUACUCCUGUCUGAUGACGGUACCGUAAGAAGAAGCACCGGCUAACUACGUG
rnacentral:rRNA from 1 species